UAUGUAGGAAGCGAGCGUUGUCCGGAAUCACUGGGCGUAAAGCGCGUGUAGGCGGUACGGCAAGUCUGCUGUGAAAGCGCCCGGCUUAACCGGGCGAGGUCGGCGGAAACUGCUGAACUGGAGGACGGUAGAGGGGGGUGGAAUUCCCGGUGUAGUGGUGAAAUGCGUAGAGAUCGGGAGGAACACCUGUGGCGAAGGCGGCCCCCUGGGCCGGACCUGACGCUGAGACGCGAAGGCGCGGGGAGCGAACGGG
rnacentral:rRNA from 1 species